GGAGUUGUGGCUCAGUGGUAGAGCACUUGCCUAGCAUGUGUGGAGGCCCUGGGUUCAAUUCUCAGCACCA
rnacentral:tRNA from 1 species